rnacentral:rRNA from 1 species
AUUGAACGCUGGCGGCAGGCCUAACACAUGCAAGUCGAACGAGUGGCGGACGGGUGAGUAAUGUCUGGGAAACUGCCUGAUGGAGGGGGAUAACUACUGGAAACGGUAGCUAAUACCGCAUACCAUCGGAUGUGCCCAGAUGGGAUUAGCUUGUUGGUGGGGUAACGGCUCACCAAGGCGACGAUCCCUAGCUGGUCUGAGAGGAUGACCAGCCAAACUUGACCUGAGACACGGUCCAGACUCCUACGGGAGGCAGCAGUGGGGAAUAUUGCACAAUGGGGGCAAGCCUGAUGCAGACAUGCCGCGUGUAUGAAGAAGGCCUUCGGGUCGUAAAGUACUCUCAUCGGGGAGGCGUUACCCGCAGAAGAGGCACCGGCUAACUCCGUGCCAGCAGCCGCGGUAAUUC